AGACUGAGCAAGGAAGCCCCACCCUGAGAGUGGGUGGCACCAUUCAGUGGGCUGGGUUUUCAGAGUGAAGAGAAAGCAGGCUGAACACCAGCAGUCAUUUCCUGCUGCUGCCUGACUUUGGAUCCUCUCUGACCAAUCCUCAUCUAUCCCACCUCCAUGCCUUGCCUGCUAUGCUGGGCUGCAUCUCUUCUUAAAAUAUAAACCGGUACUCUUCUUUCUACAGGGUGCUUCUUGUAAGGAAUUUGGUCAAAGCAAAGAGAAGAGCAACCAGUUCACGGAUUAAAAUAAUCUGGAAGCCUUUGCUACAGUUUGGGGAAAACUCAUGAGAUUCAGAGUUAUCCUGAAGGUGAGGUCACAGCUUCUACCACCACGUAGACACUGAGACAUGACAGCAUCGUUACUAUAAGGUGACCCUUCUCUAGUUUUCACCUCCCAUAUAAAGCCCAGGAAGACUGACGCCUGGAAUCUUACCAUGCCAGCCAGAAUACUGAAGAUAAUUCAUAUCUCCAUUUAUCAUUCAUUAGAAUAGAACUCAAAUCUCCUAAAUUACAGGAAAGGUAUACACCUUU
ensembl:processed_transcript